rnacentral:rRNA from 1 species
GAUGAACGCUGGCAGCAUGCUUAACACAUGCAAGUCAACUGUGGCGGACGGGUGAGUAACGCGUAAAGAACUUGCCUCACAGCUAGGGACAGCCUUUGGGAACGAAUGCUAAUACCUGAUACUGUGAGAGAGCUUUGCGUCCCAUUAGCUAGUUGGAGAGGUACCGGCUCACCAAGGCGAGGAUGGGUAGCCGGCCUGAGAGGGUGAUCGGCCACAAGGGGACUGAGAAACGGCCCUUAAGCCUACGGGAGGAAGCAGUGGGGAAUAGUGGACAAUGGACCAAAGUCUGAUCCAGCAAUUCUGUGUGCACGAUGAAGUUUUCGGAAGGUAAAGUGCUUUCAGUUGGGAAGCGGUACCAACAGAAGAAGUGCCGGCUAAAUACGUGCCAGCAGCCGCGGUAAUAC